UACAAAGGUGUGAUCAGGAGGAGCCGC
rnacentral:piRNA from 1 species